rnacentral:lncRNA from 1 species
CUCCCUGAUCAUCGUUUGGCCUCUGCGCAAGACCAUGGAUGUGUGUUCAUUUUUUUUUUCCUUUCUCUUUUCCACGUUCCAGUUUCCCGUCCCCUUCCUCUUCUCUUCUUUUUUUUUUUUUUUUCCUUUCUCUCUCGCACAUUCUAGUUCCCCUUUCUCUUUUCUUUUUUUCUUUCUCUCCUUUCUCUUUUUUUUUUUUUCUUUCUUUGUCUCUUCCUCUCCCGCGGACCCUUCUUCUUCCCCUUCCUCUAUGUCGCACCUUAUCUCUGGUCAGAGAUCUUGUAAGUUCAUGGGGAAGAACGAAUCCUCCACCAUGAAGAUCUUCUCGUUUGCUCUAGCGGAAGAUCUAUGAAGAUUCGGUUUUGGGCUUAGGAGUCUAUGUGAAGACCCUCCGAUAAAUAUGUCGUAAGAGGGAAUACGGAUCCACAU